AUUGAACGCUGGCGGCAGGCCUAACACAUGCAAGUCGAACGCGUGGCGGACGGGUGAGUAAUGUCUGGGAAACUGCCUGAUGGAGGGGGAUAACUACUGGAAACGGUAGCUAAUACCGCAUACCAUCGGAUGUGCACAGAUGGGAUUAGCUAGUAGGUGGGUUAAAGGCUCACCUAGGCGACGAUCCCUAGCUGGUCUGAGAGGAUGACCAGCCGCACUGGAACGGAGACACGGGCCAGACUCCGACGGGAGGCAGAAGUGGGGAAGAUUGCACAAUGGGCGCAAGCCUGAUGCAGCCAUGCCGCGUGUAUGAAGAAGGCCUGCGGGUUGUAAAGUACUUUCAGCGGGGAGGCGUUACCCGCAGAAGAAGCACCGGCUAACUCCGUGCCAGCCGCCGCGGUAAUAC
rnacentral:rRNA from 1 species